AACGUAGGUUCCGAGCGUUAUCCGGAUUUACUGGGCGUAAAGCGCGUUCAGGCGGUUUGGCAAGUCGGGCAUGAAAUCUCUCGGCUCAACCGGGAGAGGUUGUCCGAUACUUCCAGACUUGAGGGCAGUAGAGGGUGGUGGAAUUCCGGGUGUAGUGGUGAAAUGCGUAGAUAUCCGGAGGAACACCAGUGGCGAAAGCGGCCACCUGGACUGCACCUGACGCUGACACGCGAAAGCUAGGGGGAGCGAACGGG
rnacentral:rRNA from 1 species